UACAUACUGGAUCUUUGGUCAAGUUCUUCUUUAUGUGCUCUGAUCUGACUCUUUUUCGACUUGAGGAGACUGUCGUGAUGUAGACGUAAACCAAUCCUGUAAUUGGAAACGAAAGCCCACUUUGACUCCUCUUCUGGCUUUUCCAGGUCGAUGCAUCAGAGAACUGGCGGGGAUUCGGUGUUACC
rfam:Prochlorococcus marinus MED4 complete genome.